GCUUAAUCUCAACCAAACUCUUCAUUUUACCAAAUGUCCAAAACGAUUUAUAGACUUGGCACCUACCAUGAAGUGGUUGCCAUACUCCAUGCAAACAUAGUCGGAACCCAUCGGUUUCAUGUUAUUAACAAAACCAUUGCAGUUCAUCUACCCGAAAUACAGUGCUGACUGCUGAGACAUCAGAGUACUCUGGUCGAGAAAAUGACACAGAACUGAACAUAAUUUAACUGCCAACCUUUUGACACAGAUGGUAGUUUGGCACAGGUACAACAACAGAGCAUCACAAGACCUGUAUUUAAACGCAAAAUUCCUUCAUGAUCAGGAGCAGAAUUAAGAUUAGGCGCAGCAGCAUAGGCAUUCCAGGCAGCACUCGCAGGUCUCGUAGCAGCAGAAACAGCAGCACAGACUGAAGAGGCUGCAAGGAAUUUAAAUCACACGUCCCUGUCAAAAUCCAAAAAUAAACAGAGUAAAACAUAGCAUGCACAAGUAAAUACUGCCCCUUCCAUAGGGCAAUCUCACAUGAAAAUGACCACUAACUAAUCCAUUUCUGAGCCUACAAGAGCAAGCUGACAGGAGCCUGAGCUCUUCAUGAAACCGGUUAGGAUUUCAUUGCUCAAACUCUUGUUCAUGUAAAGCGGAAAUCGACCAGUCAGAAGAAACUUUGCAUAUAUAACGCACAAAAUUGAGAAGCCAGAGCAUGUGUUGACAGGAAGGAUGAUAAGGUACAUCACCAUGCAUAGAUACAGCCUUUGUCCUCAUGGCGCUUCUGGACAUGGCCCAAGUAGGACAUGUCCUGCGUGGCCGGAGGGUUAUACAUCUCCUACCUUUACUUUCAACUCCAAGUGCAAAGGUAGAAGAGAGGGCCUAGAGCCCUAGAGCAACACAAGAAGAAGAUGAAGCUAGGAAAGAGUCUCAUGGACAUUGUUGGUGCCUGAGGCUUCUUUUAUAGGCAGCUCAGCCCAAGCCCUGAUUGCCA
rnacentral:lncRNA from 1 species